UACAGAGGGUGCGAGCGUUGUCCGGAAUCACUGGGCGUAAAGGGCGCGUAGGCGGCGCGGUAAGCGUGCGGUGAAAGCCCGGGGCUCAACCCCGGGUCGGCCGUGCGGACUGCCGGGCUGGAGCACUGUAGAGGCAGGUGGAAUUCCGGGUGUAGCGGUGGAAUGCGUAGAGAUCCGGAAGAACACCGGUGGCGAAGGCGGCCUGCUGGGCAGUUGCUGACACUGAGGCGCGACAGCGUGGGGAGCAAACAGG
rnacentral:rRNA from 1 species